UACGUAGGGUGCGAGCGUUAAUCGGAAUUACUGGGCGUAAAGCGUGCGCAGGCGGUUCGUUAAGUCAGAUGUGAAAGCCCCGGGCUCAACCUGGGAACUGCAUUUGAAACUGGCGGGCUUGAGUGUGGCAGAGGGGGGUGGAAUUCCGCGUGUAGCAGUGAAAUGCGUAGAUAUCAGGAGGAACACCGAUGGCGAAGGCAGGUCUCUGGGCUGACACUGACGCUCAUGCACGAAAGCGUGGGGAGCAAACAGG
rnacentral:rRNA from 1 species